rnacentral:tRNA from 1 species
UAUAAGGUGGUGUAGGGUGCACAUGAGAUUUUGAUUCUUUUGGGGAUAAUUUAAUUUUAUUUCUUAUAG